rnacentral:misc_RNA from 1 species
ACUUCCGGCACAUUCACUGCUCCUCUUGAAGGAACUUACGUCUUCCAUUUCCAUGCUCUAAGCCACGCCGACGAAGAGGCCUGGCUUGAACUUUUCCACAACGAUCAGUACGUGGUGGCUACCUACGGAUACACGUCUGGGUCCUACGCCGACUCCGGAAACUCAGUCGUCCUUCACCUUAAGAAAGGCGAUACCAUCAAGGUCAAGGCCAGGCCCGGAACUGACGUAAAACUGUACGGGGACUCUGAUGAAUAUUACACGACGUUUUGUGGGGCCCUUCUUUCACCCACUGUUCAUGGAUCUGGAAGUGGACAUAAUACACACCAAGAAAUCGCUUUCUCAGUUGGUCUCACCCAUAAUGAAGCUUCAACCAACGGCCCAAAAGUGGUGUUUGACCGAGUUUACGUCAAUCUAGGACAAGACUUUAACGUCAACACCGGCGUCUUCACGGCGUCAGUGGGAGGUAUCUACGCCUUCCACUACCACGCCCUUGCUCAGCAGGGACAGGAGGCGUGGGUGGAGCUCUACCACAAUUACAUCUACGUCAACUCCCUCUAUGGCCACACCUCCGGAAGUUACGGCCCUGGAAGUAACUCGGCCGUCCUGGAGCUGGUAGCCGGGGACACUGUGUAUUUGGACAUCAAGCACCACGACUCCUUCCUGUAUGGGGGCGGGGAUGAGGUCUACAGUACAUUCUCUGGUUAUUUGUUGUCACCCAUUGACAGCCAUCAUCCCGUUGUUGGAUAAACAAUCUUAUUAAAUUUUUAGAAAAUU